rnacentral:lncRNA from 1 species
AAAUUUUAAAACCGAGACCAAUCCAACCAACCAAUUCAUUUCAAUCAAUUUGAUACCAAAUUAUACUACUAUUAUAAUUAUACUAUUUAACAUAUUCAUCAUUCUUUACUUUAAUGUAUAUUUCUUAAACAAGUCUUAAUAUUUAUAUAAUCAUCAAACCUUAUACAUGCCAUAUAAAUCAAAAAGAAAUUUACAAAAGCUACCGGAGA